UGGGGAAUAUUGGACAAUGGGCGAAAGCCUGAUCCAGCCAUGCCGCGUGUGUGAAGAAGGUCUUCGGAUUGUAAAGCACUUUAAGUUGGGAGGAAGGGCAGUAAGCGAAUACCUUGCUGUUUUGACGUUACCGACAGAAUAAGCACCGGCUAACUCUGUGCCAGCAGCCGCGGUAAUACAGAGGGUGCAAGCGUUAAUCGGAAUUACUGGGCGUAAAGCGCGCGUAGGUGGUUCGUUAAGUUGAAUGUGAAAGCCCCGGGCUCAACCUGGGAACUGCAUCCAAAACUGGCGAGCUAGAGUAGGGCAGAGGGUGGUGGAAUUUCAUGUGUAGCGGUGAAAUUCGUAGAUAUAGGAAGGAACACCAGUGGCGAAGGCGACCACCUGGGCUCAUACUGACACUGAGGUGCUAAAGCGUGGGGAGCAAACAGG
rnacentral:rRNA from 1 species